GCCCAGAAGCCCACUGAUACCAAUUAACUGGUGGGAAAUUUGCGGGCCAUUGCGUUGGGCCAGGGAUCUGGCCCAUCGUAGGAGCCAAUCUUCCCGAAAGAGUUUCUUCUGAAGAUCUUUCUUCUUCAGAGGGGAUAACCGGAUUUGAGGUGGGUGUUCCCUCUGUUGAAGAGCCCUCAAUAUUCUUUGUCAUGGUACUAAAAAAAAAGGUUGAAUUCCUAACCGGUUUGCUGGUCUGUUUUGCAGGUGAGAAUUGUGCAACAACAGCCCAGAAGAUGAAGCAGUGGCAAUUCAAAAAAUGCGGAAGCUAACCAG
rnacentral:lncRNA from 1 species